GACGAACGCUGGCGGCGUGCUUAACACAUGCAAGUCGAACGAAGAGCGAUGGAAGCUUGCUUCUAUCAAUCUUAGUGGCGAACGGGUGAGUAACGCGUAAUCAACCUGCCCUUCAGAGGGGGACAACAGUUGGAAACGACUGCUAAUACCGCAUACGAUCUGACCUCGGCAUCGAGGAUAGAUGAAAGGUGGCCUCUACAUGUAAGCUAUCACUGAAGGAGGGGAUUGCGUCUGAUUAGCUAGUUGGAGGGGUAACGGCCCACCAAGGCGAUGAUCAGUAGCCGGUCUGAGAGGAUGAACGGCCACAUUGGGACUGAGACACGGCCCAGACUCCUACGGGAGGCAGCAGUGGGGAAUCUUCCGCAAUGGACGAAAGUCUGACGGAGCAACGCCGCGUGAGUGAUGACGGCCUUCGGGUUGUAAAGCUCUGUUAAUCGGGACGAAAGGCCUUUUUGCGAAUAGUGAGAAGGAUCGACGGUACCGGAAUAG
rnacentral:rRNA from 1 species